UACGAAGGGGGCGAGCGUUGUUCGGAUUUACUGGGCGUAAAGGGCGCGCAGGCGGUCUUGAAAGUCAGGCGUGAAAGCCCCGGGCUUAACCUGGGAAUUGCGCUUGAUACUCUGAGACUGGAGUACGGGAGAGGAGAGUGGAAUUCCCAGUGUAGAGGUGAAAUUCGUAGAUUAGGUGGAAGAACACCAGUGGCGAAGGCGGCUCUCGUGGACCGUAACUGACGCUGAGGCGCGAAAGCGUGGGAGCAACAGG
rnacentral:rRNA from 1 species